rnacentral:rRNA from 1 species
UACAACAUAGGAAAUCUGCCUUAGGGUGGGGGACAACAGAGGGAAACUUCUGCUAAUACCCCAUAUGAGCUUGGUUGAAAUACCAAUCUUGAAAGUUCCGGCGCCCUAAGAUGAGCCUGUGCCUGAUUAGCUAGUUGGCGGUGUAAUGGACUACCAAGGCGACGAUCAGUAGCUGGUUUGAGAGGAUGAUCAGCCACAAUGGGACUGAGACACGGCCCAUACUCCUACGGGAGGCAGCAG